rnacentral:rRNA from 1 species
AUUGAACGCUGGCGGCAGGCCUAACACAUGCAAGUCGAGCGGAUGAUGGGAGCUUGCUCCUGGAUUCAGCGGCGGACGGGUGAGUAAUGCCUAGGAAUCUGCCUGGUAGUGGGGGAUAACGUCCGGAAACGGGCGCUAAUACCGCAUACGUCCUGAGGGAGAAAGUGGGGGAUCUUCGGACCUCACGCUAUCAGAUGAGCCUAGGUCGGAUUAGCUAGUUGGUGGGGUAAAGGCCUACCAAGGCGACGAUCCGUAACUGGUCUGAGAGGAUGAUCAGUCACACUGGAACUGAGACACGGUCCAGACUCCUACGGGAGGCAGCAAUGGGGAAUAUUGGACAAUGGGCGAAAGCCUGAUCCAGCCAUGCCGCGUGUGUGAAGAAGGUCUUCGGAUUGUAAAGCACUUUAAGUUGGGAGGAAGGGCAGUAAGUUAAUACCUUGCUGUUUUGACGUUACCAACAGAAUAAGCACCGGCUAACUUCGUG